ensembl:snRNA U6 U6 spliceosomal RNA
CUUUUUGCUAAAAAUAUCCAAAGGACAUGCUCCACUUUGGCAGCACAUAUACAGAGAAGAUCAGCAUGGCUCCCGCCAAGGAUGACACACAAAUUCACAAGGUGCUCCAUAUUACA